rnacentral:lncRNA from 1 species
UGUGCAGGGAGGAGAGGAGCAGUUAAGACAUUGAAUCACCCGAGGAAAUGCAAGAGCCAGCAGGAACUCAGUGGAAAGUGGGAGGAAACAUGUCAGGAGCCCCAUGUACAGCUGCAUCAGUUGAGCACUGCACAAGUCUGGGGUCAUCGUUCCCCAAACUGUGAACGUGAGGAGCUUUGUGAGACUUCUAGGACAGGUAUCCAGGGGUCACCCAGAUGCAGGGCUGGAGCAAGAGCAAGGAACCACGGCCUCAGAGAAGGCGAGGGGGUGGCUAAGACUUUCGCUUUCUGGGACUUCCCAGGUGCGUCUUCCACGGUGGCGGACUGGACAGGGUAGACAGCGGGACUGUGAAGAGGGACAGCGGACACCAGAUUAUCAGGCCAGAGGUUGUUGUUCCUUCUGUGUGCGGACAGGGCUCAAGGGCCUCUGACAGUGUUUAUUUAGUACACUGCAGAAGAUCAAUAAAUUUUCCUGAAUAAGAAAAAUGAAUGUGUCAGGCAAAAGAAAUUCCACAGCGAGGAGAAUCCCCGCCGUGGACACGAGGGGGAGCCCGAGACACCCGUCCUCCCGAGGCCCGGGGCGGGCGGUUCUCGCGGUGCCGGGACCAGGACCUCCGUCCCGGCUUCUGCCGCCUCGGAGCCCAGGCUAAGGUGACACAGAAGGCGCAGGCCUCGCGCAGUGCUUCUGACAGCUACCGUGCAUCGUAACAACUCGAGAUCGAUCGUAAAAACUCGAGUUCGAUCCCUGUACAAAGAAGAAAAGAAAACGUGGUGUGCACUAAAUACACGCAGUAAGCGAGUCAGGCGGUGGCGGCUGGGCGAGCCCUCGCGGGUGGGCGUGGAGUCGUCCUCUGGUCCGGCUCCGCCGCGGGUCCUCCCGACCCUGCUGGUGCGGCUGCGUCAGUGACUGCCUUUUCCCUAAACGUCCUUUUCCCAAAAAAGUCACAAUAACGGUGUCCUCCUUUUCCUCCCUCGCUUCUUUUUCUUCUUCCAGCUCUGUAAGUUGCACACUCAGCAAUUAAUUCCCCCAAAUUUCAUAUUUUGUUUUUAAAAAGGGCCCCAAAAGCCAUACAAACUUCCCCUAAAUAUUAUUUGCAUCCAGUAAGUUUUUACGAAACACAAGCUUGUCUCCAACUAUUUUGCAGCUUCUGUUUUUAAAAACUCUGUAACUCAUAAAUUAUGUUGAAAUCCUCGCAAGAUUAAGGGAGGAAGGAGGGAGAGUAGGGGAGGGCGUAAAGAGAAUUUUAAAAAUUUGUCUUUAUUUUUUUGACAUGGGAUCGAACGCAGGGCCUUGUGCUUGCGAGGCAGGAGGCGCCAUGCAAAUAAAGAGAACUGAGCUGUGUUUCGUAGGUGGACCCGCUCCCCGUGAGAGAUGGAGUCACUGUUCACUGCACACUUGUACGGCGGUAAGAAAAAUAAAAAUUAGAAAUUAAAAUCUGUGCUUUCCCGUCUUUGAUUUCCCCUAUAGCUCUCUCUUUUAUUUUUUAGUUUGUUUGUUUGUUUUGUUUUAGUGUUUUGAGACAGGGUCUCACUCUGUAGUUGAGACUGACCUGGCACUCACUCUGUAGCCCAAGCUGGUCUGGAACUUACAGCGAUCCUCCUGCCUCAGCCUCUGGAGUGCUGGGAUUACAGGCGUGCGCCACCACACCCAGCUGUAAUAUAACUCGUGAAGGCAGAAG